rnacentral:lncRNA from 10 species
CUAGAAUUCUAUCUUAACCAGUAAAAUUAAUGUUACCAUUACAGGAGCAUUAAUUUUGUGUCAGUUUCUACUAAAUAGUAAUCAAGAUAAAGAAAUGAAAAGGUUCCAAAGCCAACAUCCAUCCCCACACAGAAUGGUAAGACAACUGCUACACCAUGGCACGUCCAAAGCACUACAGAGUAAUGGACUGCAGAUCAGGAAAUACCCUCCAACCUCGCUGGUUUUCAACUUGUUCCAAACCUCCCCAUACUCAGUUCCCCUCUAUUUCUGACACUCUUAGCUUCACAACUUGAAGCUAAGAUCUUUUUCCAUUGUCAGUUUGACCUCGUAAUCUGGCCUUGCACUGUUUAUAUUAUUAAUAAUAUGUACCCAAAACCCAUGUAUGCUGACCCAGGUAACUGCCCCCACCUUCGCAUUCUGCAAACACAAAUACAAGAUAGCCAGAGGUUAUCUUGGACAGCACUAGAUGAACCCCUAAGCAAUGUCUCUGCCAUAGAAGAUCCAGUUUUCAAAUAUAAGUUCUCUGAAAGCUCAAAGCUUGCUAUAGCGAGAAACUCGUGUGCAAGACCACCAUCAAAACAAUCUUCUUCAUAAGGAGCAAACUACUGACCAAAAGUUUUUUUUGUUGUUUGUUUGUUUUUUUGAGACAGUCUCACCCUGUUGCCCAGGCUGGAGUGCAAUGGCAUAAUUUUGGCUCACUGCAACCUCCACCUCCCGGGUUCAAGCGAUUCUCCUGCCUCAGCCUCCCGACUAGCUGGAAUUACAGGCACCCGCCACCACACCCAGCUAAUUUUUGUAUUUUUAGUAAAGACGGGGUUUCACCAUGCUGGCCAUGGUCUCGAACUCCUGAUCUCAGAUGAUCUGCCUGCCUGGGCCUCCCAAAGUGCUGGGAUUAUAGGCGUAAGCCACCACACCCGGCCGACCAAAAGUUUUAUCACUUCAAUUUCUUAGGAUGACCAGAAAAGAGCUGCUUCGUAGCUCCAAGGAACAGGAACCUGAGGACUACCAAGGGCCAACUUGAGUAUUGUGACUUCCUAUUCCAUUGGGUUUAGCCCGCAGACAUACUACUUUUGACUCCACAUGCACAGAGUAGAGUAGGUGCUUGAUAAAUAUUUGUUGCUGAAUGAAUGAAUUAGAAAUUGAUCAUACUUGCCCUUUGAGUCUCUAGUGACCGUGUCAUCUCCCAAAUCAAUAUUAAUACCAACAUGAUGAAAUCUAAAAAUUAUUUCAGAUAUUCAUCUUCUUUAUUAUUUCAGUUCCCACCGAUGAUAGCAACUAAAGGUCCAGGGAAAUGCAAAAAUAAAUAGGCAAUUAUUUUGUGAAAAAUUUUCACAUGAAAAAGUCCUCUUUCCAGUAAUCCCACCAGUUCCUUAAUUCUAGAAUGAAAAGAAAAUUGGAAAUACUUUAUUGUAUUGGCAUAUAGGGACUGAGACUAGAAUUAUACUUUCAGACAGGAGAAAUUAGGUGAAUAGUCCUGUUCUUACAGAUUAACCAUUGCUUUCACUGAUCCAUCACUGACCGCUGCAAAUGGUUAAGUUCUAUUACCAUCUCACAUAACAUGUUCAAAAAGUAAAAAGAAAAAAGAAAGCUUUUUCAAAAGGUGAAUUCUAAGGGACUCUGUAAUGGCCCUGUUAUUUGGAGUUUUUUUUACUUAUAUACAAAGCUGAAAUGGCACCAAAUAUCCACUUUGCCUUGUUCUCUACCAACUCUUUAAAAGUAGGAAUCUAUAUUUCUUGGCAAAGUUCAAAACUAAACAUCAAUCAAAGAUUCUUAGCCAUAGGUCUAGACCCUCUCUCUAGGCAUGUAUGAGCACAUCUCAAAGGUAGAUGAAAUUUAUAAAUGCGUCUCUGGAGCCUCUACGAGCAUCAUUGCAUGUGGGAAGGUUUCUGCUCCUGAUGUGAAAGGUAGAAUUGAUCCCUAUAUCUGACCUGUAUGUGGCAUAAUCAAAUGAAAAGCAGGGAACUCCGCCCCUUUCUUUCACUUUUUUUUCCCUCUCUCAUGUAUGUUUUCUCUGUUUUUCUUUUUCCUUGCUCUUUUACAUGAAUGUAAUUAUCAAUAGUCACUUGCUGAUAUUCAUCCCCCAUAGUACCUGGUGGCAAUUGGGAAACAAAUUAUAUUUAGCAAGACAAUUUAUGGUUUGUGUCAAAAGAUACAUGUUACUUUUGCUUCUCUUCACCUUCUGAGCUCCAGUCUACCACC